GCCCAAGAUGGACAACUUCGAUGAUCGUGUGUCGGAUGAGAAGGUACGCAUAGCUGCUAAGUUCGUCACUCAUGCACCCCCAGGGGAAUUUAAUGAAGUAUUUAAUGAUGUUCGGCUACUACUUAACAAUGACAAUCUCCUCAGGGAAGGGGCAGCACAUGCAUUUGCCUAGUAUAACAUGGAUCAGUUCACGCCAAUGAAGAUAGAAGGAUAUGAAGAUCAGGUCUUAAUUACAGAGGACAGUGACCUGGGUAAAAGCAGAUUUCUAGAUCCAAGAAACAAAAUUUCCUUUAAAUUUGAUCACCUACAGAAAGAAGCAAGUGACCCCCAGCCAGAAGAAGUUGAUGGAGGUGUGAACUCUUGGAGAGAAUCUUGUGAUAGUGCUUUCAGAGCCUGUGUGAAAGACCAUUAUUCCAACAGCUUCUGUACUGUUUAUGCUAAAACUAUCAAUGGGCAACAGACUAUUAUUACAUGUAUUGAAAGCCACCAGUUUCAGCCUAAAAACUUCUGGAAUGGUCCUUGGAGAUCGGAGUGGAAGUUCACCAUCACACCACCUACAGCCCAGGUGGUUGGAGUGCUUAAGACUCAGGUUCACUAUUAUGAUGAUGGCAAUGUUCAGUUGGUUAGUCAUAAAGAUGUAUAGGAUUCACUAACCGUUUUGAAUGAAGCCCAAACUGCCAAGGAGUUUAUUAAAAUCAUAGAGAAUGCAGAAAAUGAGUAUCAGACAGCAAUUAGUGAAAAGCAUCAAACAAAGUCGGAUACCACAUGCAAGGCCUUGGCGCCAGCAGCUUCCAGUUACCCCCACCACAAUUGCCUGGAACAAAAUACUUGGCUACAAGAUUGGCAAAUAAAUGCAGAAUGCUUAAAGGCUGAAUGUAGACUUCUCCAGUAUGUGGAAAGACAAGGAUUCAAUGUGUGGUCAUAUGAUAAAUAAGUGAUUUAUAAACAAGAGUGAUAUUUUGCUAGGGCUUUCAAAGUUAACUGGUUUUCUAGCCUCAUGGAAUACUGCGGAACCUAUAGUGUUGCGUUGAUUCUUUUGUGUUUUCUGCGUUAUAAUUUUUGGUUAUUGCUGUAUCUAUGUGUAAAUCUUUUUUGUUUGUUUGUUUGUUAAUUCUGCCACAUUUAAUAUUGGAGAGAGAAAGAUCUAUCCUAGAGACAUUUUACUGUUUAAAAAAGUUUCCUAGCCAUGAAUCCCUGCUACUGAUUUAGACAGGUAUUAUGGUCAUUACUUUUCACCCCUGUCCUUCUGGGUACUUCUGGUACUUCAGUGGUUUUUACUGAUCACCAACACCUAAAGAGGCUGUGCUGCAAUCUAUAGCUAAAUGGAAGACACAUUCAUCCUUCUCCCUCUGACUGCUUUGAUCAUCAUUUAUUGCAUCUCAUAACUGUAAUUUUCCAAAGUUUGGAUUGGGACUUUUUAAGUCCUAUUUGGAGGGCAAAGGAAGUGCCAGUUUCUCUGGGGAACUUGUUUUUAAAUCCAAAGACUUGAACCACAUUCCCUGCACAUAAACAUGUUUGCUUUUAUCCCUUCUCUCAUUGUCUCCUUCCCAUUUUAAUACCAUUGUAAUUAUAGAUAUCUGCUU